rnacentral:rRNA from 1 species
CCUACGGGAGGCAGCAGUGAGGAAUAUUGGUCAAUGGGCGCGAGCCUGAACCAGCCAAGUCGCGUGAGGGAAGACGGUCCUAUGGAUUGUAAACCUCUUUUGUCGGGGAGCAAAAGACGCCACGCGUGGCGUUCCGAGAGUACCCGAAGAACAAGCAUCGGCUAACUCCGUGCCAGCAGCCGCGGUAAUACGGAGGAUGGAAGGGUUAUACGGAUUUGUUGGGUUAAAAGGGUGCGCAGGCGGAAGAUCAAGUCAGCGGUAAAAUUGAGAGGCUCAACCUCUGCGAGCCGUUGAAACUGGUUUUCUUGAGUGAGCGAGAAGUAUGCGGAAUGCGUGGUGUAGCGGUGAAAUGCAUAGAUAUCACGCAGAACUCCGAUUGCGAAGGCAGCAUACCGGCGCUCAACUGACGCUCAUGCACGAAAGUGUGGGUAUCGAACAGGAUUAGAUACCCUUGUAGUC